UACGAAGGGGGCAAGCGUUGUUCGGAUUUACUGGGCGUAAAGGGCGCGUAGGCGGUCAGCACAAGUCAGUUGUGAAAUCUCCGGGCUUAACUCGGAAAGGUCAACUGAUACUGUGCGACUAGAGUGCAGAAGGGGCAACUGGAAUUCCCAGUGUAGCGGUGAAAUGCGUAGAUAUUGGGAGGAACACCAGUGGCGAAGGCGGCUCACUGGACCGGUACUGACGCUGAUGCGCGAAAGCGUGGGGAGCAAACGGG
rnacentral:rRNA from 1 species